rnacentral:lncRNA from 1 species
CGACAGAUUUAUCAAGGUUCGGGAACCGGUCUCUCAUCUCAGGGGAACGGUUGCAUCAAAACACACGCAGUGAGGACCUUAGGGAAACCGGUCUCUCGAACUCAGGGACCGGUCCCUGAACACAGAAAAGUUCAGUAAAAUAUUUUUAAAGCAAUCUAAGCCUUCUGAACUUAUUCUAAUUAAGUAUCUUCACCACAAAUGAUCUUUUCCUCAUACCUUAGGUGCCGAACUUUAUGAGUGAGUCUUUGUUCUUCAAUUUGGAUCUUCUCUUCAAUCUUCCGCAAUCAACUCUUCAAGACUUCAUUCAACAUUACGAAAUCCGCCAACCUAUAAAAUCCGUAACAAAUUAUCGAAAUCCGAGAGUUAGAUUUC